CCUCCUUAUACGGUUUAGAACUUAUUUGUUCGACGUGUCCACACAGAUGAUUGUUAGUUAGAUAGCUGAGGCUGUUUAAUUAAUAUUGCUCUUUAAAAAUUUGGAAAAGCUGAUAAAUAAAUUCUAAUGGACGAAAGUCUGUUAAGAGUUUUCAAAAGUAAAAUAAUGCCAAUUGAUUAAUCUAUAUGGAUUGAUUAAUUAGCAUCUACUUUAGUAUUCAAUAUUAACUUCUGGCGAAGUUAAAUCAGUCUUUGAUGUACAGCCUUAUAGGCGUUUUUCAAUGAUUUUGAGUGUUAAGCAAGGCGUUUGAGUAUUUUAUCGACGGGAACAUAACGUGUUAUGUGACCAAGUAAAAUGCAAAAGCAACGCAGCCUAACGGUCAAAAGCGCAGAAAAACCACUUUGGGUUGUAUGGUUAAGUGACUAAGCGUACACGGUGGAUGCCUUGGCAGUUGGAGGCGAUGAAGGACGUACUAACUUA
rnacentral:misc_RNA from 1 species